rnacentral:rRNA from 1 species
GAUGAACGCUGGCGGCGUGCCUAAUACAUGCAAGUCGAGCGAACAGACGAGAGUGCUUGCACUCUCUGACGUUAGCGGCGGACGGGUGAGUAACACGUGGGUAACCUACCUAUAAGACUGGGAUAACUUCGGGAAACCGGAGCUAAUACCGGAUAAUAUUUAGCUUCGCAUGACGCAAUAGUGAAAGACGGUUCUGCUGUCACUUAUAGAUGGACCCGCGGUGUAUUAGCUAGUUGGUGAGGUAACGGCUCACCAAGGCAACGAUACAUAGCCGACCUGAGAGGGUGAUCGGCCACACUGGGACUGAGACACGGCCCAGACUCCUACGGGAGGCAGCAGUAGGGAAUCUUCCGCAAAGGACGAAAGUCUGACGGAGCAAUGCCGCGUGAGUGAAGAAGGUUUUCGGAUCGUAAAACUCUGUUGUAAGGGAAGAACAAGUACGUUAGUAACUGAACGUACCUUGACGGUACCUUACCAGAAAGCCACGGCUAACUACGUG